CUACACCGCACUCAUCAACAAUUAUUCAAAGAUGGAAAACAGUGUUGACGCUCGAUAUCUGUUUGAUGAGAUGGUCUAUCGUGAUAUUCGACCGAGUUCCCAUGCUUACUGUGCUCUUAUAAAUGGACUGGUAAAGACUAACCUGUUUAGAAUGGCGGGCAAAGAUCUGCAUAUGAUGCUGGUGGAUGGUUUUGUGCCAGGCACAAUCCUAUACACAAUGCUCAUAAACCAGUUCCUUAAGAAAGGGGAUGUUCGCUUUGGACUAGAUCUAAUUGCAUUGAUGGUGAGGAACCAGGUUUAACCUGAUCUUAUCACAUUUGGAGCUGUGAUCAGUGGUAUAUGUGGAAAUGUCUCGUGGCGUGAAAAAAUGGAACUUACUUUAGCUGUAAAAUUGGAGGAAGCAAGGUGCUUACUUUUUAAGUUGUUAUCAUGAAAUACUAUUGUGCCAGGAAAGCUAACUCAAAAUAUCUGAUGUGGAACUACUAAAGAAAAAAAUUGAGCUAGCUAGGGAGUAUGUACUACAUCUUCAGGAUGUUGGCUUGGUUCUGGAUUUGCGUAUUUAUAAUGGGAUGAUUAAUGGGUUUUGCUGAGCUAAUAUGAGAAACAAUGUUAAUGCCCUCAUAGAUUCUAUGGACAAAGCCGGUGUUGUACUUGACCAAGUAGCAUGUACCAUCUUAAUGGGUGCCCAUAUCAAUUCUGGUGAGACUGAUCAUGUGACAGAAUUAUUUAACCCGAUGAACAGGGAUGGUUGCAUGGCUGAUAAUGUUACUUUUGAUACACAUUUAAGGUUAUUCUAUCGCUCAAAGAGGGAUGGUGGCAUUAUCUCUUUUUCAGAUGAUGCGAAAGAGAGGGUUUUUCCCUAGCAAAUCUUUAUGUCAUAGAUUACUUGACUGCCUCUGUCAAAGUCAUGCUAGCGAUCUUGCAUUUAGGCUAUUUGAGGAAAUGGUCUACUUGGCUUUAUACCACAGCAUGAUAAAUAUAACAAAUUGCUCUUCAUGCUCUUGGAAGAGGAAGUUUGCAGGCAGGUCACAAAACCUUAGACAUGAUGCUUAAGAGAGGAAAAACUCCAGUUCAUGAGGCAAAGAAACAGCUGCUCAAUAUUUGUUAUAAGCAUGGAGAAUAUGAUCUGGCUUUUAAGAUUGACAAAACUAUACCAGUUUACGAGUUAGCAAUGCUUUCUGUAACACAAAAACUCGGAAGUUGACGGAUGAUUCAUGCCAGUCUCUCAGAUAGAUUCUCCUCUCUGGGCAGGGUUCUGCCUGAAGGUUGAGCACCCAGAUGCCUCUUUUUUAUGCUAUCGGUGGAGAGUCAGGGACAUGACCACUGUUACUCCAAAAAAUCUGGGCGGACACUCUUCCAUUGUAAAUCAAUAAAUGAUUCCUCCUCAUCUCAUGGUGCCAUGCUCUUCUGUUCCUUUGCCGCUCUCUUCUCUCUCUUUUCUUCAAGCUUUCUGUGAUUCCUCCUCAUCUCAUGGUGUCAUGCUCUUCUUUUCCUCUUCGCAUUCCAAUUCCCAUUGCUGCUGCUUCUGGUUCUCUUUCUCUUGUCUCACUUUGGAGACAAUGACGAUGCCCUAAUCACCUUUGAAUGCGAUCGCAGCGUGUGAAGGUGUGUGGUAUCUCCAUCGUUGAUUGAUUCCUCUUCUUUGUUGCUCCUCCUCUCUUCUCUCUCUAUGUAGCGAUGGUGUAGCAGCUCGGAUGGCCUGCUCCUCAGCAGGCAACCGCUGCUCCAGUUCUGCUAGAGGGAGGGGAUGUUGUGGGAGAAGAGGAGAGGUCUUGGUGGUACCAUGGAUUAAUGGUGAAUCCGAGCCUAUUCUCUGUGAUUCUAUGAGGUUGCUCAAGCUCGGCUCAUUCAGAGCCCUAACUGUUUCUUUGCUACUACUACUACCAGGACUAUUGCCAAUGAUGACGAUGCUGAUGAUGAUACUUAUUAAUUGCAAUGCCACGCUCUUGUGUUCACUUGGCUGUGAUGAUUUGCCCUGGAAGAGUCCUGAGAUCGAGUGGCGUGGCAGCUACUGCUGCAGUCCUUGAUUCAGUUUUUAUUUCUGAUAAAAAAAGGUCAAAUCUGAGCCUCCUCCUCCACCUCCUUCUCCUCUCGCUCUCUCUCUAUAUAUAUACUUUCUCCGCAUCAAAAGAAUUAAUUAAAAGGAACAAGUAAAAAGGAUUGAAGGGAGUAUAUGAUAAAUGUGGGGCGCGCAACGAAUCUCAACCAUUAAGUUGGGAGGGGUUUGAACUCGUGACCUCAACCAUGAUGAUGCUUGUUAAUGGCAAUGCUGCACUCUUGUAUUCGCGUGGCUAUGAUGAUUUGACAUAGAAGAGCCUCAAGAUCCCUUGAUUGAAAAAAAAAGGUCAGAUCUGAGCCUCUUGCCUGUUGGUUCCUCUGAAAAUGAUGAAGGAAAAGAAAAGAAGGCAAUGCUAUCAAAAUAAUUAAAUAAAUAAAUAAAACCAUCCAAGCCCAAAGAUUCAUAUUGAAUUUCGAUGGGAACUUCCCGAACUUCAAUUAUGUGUGUGUGUGUGGUCUGUGAUGUGUUUGCCCAUGGCUGGAAACAGCCCCUUGAUUGCUAUGAAUCGGAAGAGUGAGAUAUCAAGUCCUCGCGCAUGCUUUAUUUUUUUGCAUUGUUUAAUAAUUGUUCUUGUUCUAAAAGCGUGUGAAGACCACAUUCACAGUAGGAUGAUGGUAACUUUCUCUCUUGCCAAGUGAGAGGUUUAGGGAUCAACUCCCUCUCAACAUUGGUUAAGGUGAGCGGCUUGCCAAUCUUAUGAAAAAAAGAGUUGUGAAGUUUGUUCAUGAAGAGUCCCAGGAUCAAUUGGCGAGGCGGCUUUGGUGGUUAUUGCUGCUGCCAUUCAUUGAUUCUGCGUUCUCUUUGAUAAAAAGGUUAGAUCAAUGUUCCUUUUUCUUUGAGGAAAUUAACAUUGACUCUGAUAUUAUCCAAUUUCUUAAGAAAGCAUGAGGUUCAGUUUGUCCUGUUUUUUUAUUGAUUUGUGGUCUCUUAAUUCUAUUCUUUGUCUGUUGUUGCAACUUUGUUGUGGUAUUUAAUAAUCUCCCAUCAUUAAAUUUGGUACUUAUCAAGAUAGUCUGUGUCUCUCGCUCUUUCAGUUUAAGCUAUUGUGUUUAAAUGAGCCUAAUAUACAUUUGGCCGAACUGAGUUCUGCGGGUCUUGGCCUUUGCUAUGCAUCUGAGAAGCCAAAAUUUAGGUUGUGUUUGUAUCAUGGAAACAUGAAUUGAAAAGGAAAUGGUGGGGCUGAUCACUGUAGCGGCUUGGAUGGCCUGGUACUUGGCAGGCAACCGCUGCUCCCGUUCUGUUGUGGUGUGGGAGAAGAGGACGGGUCUUGGUGGUACUGCAGAUUAAUGGCGAAUCCGAGCCUCUUCUCUGUGAGUUUACGAGGUUGCUCAGGCUCGGCUCAUUCAGAGCCCUAACUGUUUCUUUGCUUUUACUACUAUCAGUACUACUGCCAUUGAUGAUGAUACUUAUUAAUUGCAAUGCUGCGCUCUUGUGUUCUCUUGGCUGUGAUGAUUUGCCCUAGAAGAGUCGAGGGAUCGAGUGGUGUGGCAGCUACUGCUGCAGUCCUCGAUUCAAUUUUUAUCUAUCAUAAAAAAAAAGGUCAGAUCUGAGCCUCCCCCUCUUCCUCUCUCUCUAUGUAUAUGUACUCUUUCCAUUCUUUUUUAUUUGUCGUGGUUAACCGAAUCUCAUAUACCAAGAAACUUAGUUAUUUUACAAAAUUUAGGAUUUGUAACAGAUAAAAAGGAACAAGUCCAAAAGGAACAUGGAUUUGUAACAGAUAAAAAAACCAAGGAUUUAUGACAGAUAAAAAGGAACGAAGUGAGUACUUUCUCCACAUUAAAGGAAUUAAUUACUCCCUCAGUUCUUUUGUAUCUUUCACAAAUCCAUGUUACUUUUUAUUUUGCCAUUUUUAAGUAUUUAUUAUUUUUUUUUUCAAAAUUACCCUUAACAGAGGAUUGAAGAGAGUAUAUGAAAAUGUGGGGCGAACAACGAACCUCAACCAUUAAGUUGGGAGGGGUUUGAACUCUCUGCUGCUGCUACUACUACUACCAUGAUGAAGAUGAAGAUGAUGCUUGUUAAUGGCAAUGCGACACUCUUGUCUUCGUGUGGCUGUGAUGAUUUGACAUACAAGGGCCUCAGGAUCAGGUGGCGUGGCAGCUAUUGCUGCAGCCCUUGAUUCAGUGUUUAUUUCUGAUUAAAAAAAAGGUCAGAUCUGAGCCCCUUGCCUCUUGGUUCCUCUGAAAAUGAUGGAAGGAAAAGGAAAAAAAAGGCAUUGCUAUCAAAAUAAAUAAAUAAAUAAAACCAUCUGUGAUGUGUUUGUCCAUGGCUGGAAACAGCUCCUUGGUUGCUAUGAAUCGGAAGAGUGAGAUAUCAAGUCCUUUAACAUGCUUUAUUUUCUUGCAUUGUUUCGUAAUUGUUCUUGUUUGAAAGAGUGUGAAGACCACAUUCACAUUAAGACCAAGUGAGAGGUUGAGGGAUGAACUCCUUCUCACAAUAUUGGUUGAAGUGAGAGGCUUGUCAAUCUCAUAAAUAAAAUGUGUGAUGUCUGUUCAUGAAGAAUCCUAGGAUCAAAUGACAGCGUGGCUUUGGUGGUUAUUGCUGCAGCCAUUCAUUGAUUCUGCUUUCUCUUUGAUGAAAAGGUCAGAUCAAUUUUCCUUUUUCUUUGAGGAAAUUAUUAAUGACUCUGAUAUUAUCCGUUUUCUUAAGAAAGCAUGGAGUUCAGUUUGUCCUGUUUUUUAUUGUUUUGUGGUCUCUGAAUUCUAUUAUUAGUCUUUUGAGGCAGUGAUGAUUCACCCUUGAAUUCCUAUGUUCAAAUGGCAUGACAACUUUUUUGUGGUGUUUAAUGAUCUCCCAUCAUUAAAUUUGGUACUCAUCAAUAUUAAUAUAUAUGUCUGUCCCUCAUGCGCUAUCAGCUCAAGCUGUUGUGUUGAAUUGGGCCUAAUAUGCAUUUGGCUGAAAUUAGUUGUGGGCUUUUAGCCUUGGCUAUGCAUCUUAGAAACCAAAAUUUUGGUUGUGUUUGGAUCAUGGAAACAAGAUUUAAAAAUGAAAUGGCGCGCUGAUCGCUGCUGUAGCCAUAUUUGGUUCUUAUUUUGUAUUAAUGUGAUGAAAAGGGUGGAUUUGAGCCUCAGCUUUCUUCUUUAUAGUACAUGUUAGUGUGGCAAAUAAGUGAUGUGUUUGGAUUAGUGGAAAGUAGGUAAAAUAAUGAAACGUGUUAUUUCAUAAAUCUCCAUGAAAUCUUCAAUAGUGACAAUUUUCUGACCUUUAAUAAUUGCACAUAUCUUAUUUAUCUUCUCAUCUACUAGGUGACUUUUUAGGAAGAAAAUUGUAUUCCUAAAUUAGUGACAGUUUAGAGAAAAGGCGAGAUUAAUUUUUUUGUUUCCAAUGUUCUGUCAUGAGUGAAAAGGCUAGAUAAACCAAGCUUAGCCAUCGUUUUGUAAAUUUUUCUACUUAACAUUUUUUAAAAUUCUUCUAUUUCUUGUCUUUAACUCUUCCCUUGAAGAGCUUCCAAUUUUCUUUUAAGGGCAUCCACCUGAUUUUUAAGGACAUGUCCGUACCAUCUUAAUCAGUUAUUUCUAAACUUUUUAGUAAUAGGUGUCACUCUUAUUUUAUUUUGGAUAAAUUCAUUUAUUAAUCAGUUGUCCCCACUUACACAUGACGUCCAUCUCAACAUUCUCAUUUUAGUCAUGCCCUUCCUUUAUGUAUAUUAUUUUUUAACCCCCCAACAUUUAGCCCCUUAGAUCAUACUUGGCCUAACAACUAUUCUAUAAAACUUUCAAUCUAAGAGGUAUUCUAUGGCCACGUAAAACUUUAGACGCUCUUCUUGAUUUUAGCCAACUUGCCUUGAUACUAUUUAUGACAUCUUUUAUAAGUUUCCUGUUAUCUUAGAUUAGAGAGCUUCUAAAGUUGCAGAAGUUGCAGCCGACAUUCUUUGUCAUUCUUUCUGGAUUGAAUGAAUCAUAUUUUAUUGUUGUAGAAGCCUUUUAUAGGACUUAAAUAUGUUUAAAUCCUUGUGUCCUAGGCUGUGGUGAACAACCCUAUGCUAAUUAUGGCGGUGUGGGUUGUGUUGACCUGCAGCCAUAUGUUGUUAAGAGAUGUAUGUAUGUUGGCACUUCUUCUUAUUUUCUAUCCUUUGUGAUAAUGACCAAUGUAUAACUGAUAUUGUAGGGUGGUUCUGAGCCUUACAAUUACUUCCAUAUUUACAUCUUCUAAAGUUCAGAUUAUUUUUUGGCUUGAUGAAUCUUGUUUUUAAUAAGAAUUAGUUAAGAAAUUUGUAAGGUGACUGCAAUGGUGAUUAUUGAGGUUGCAGUUGCGCUCCUCGCCUGUGCAUGCCCUUGAAUUGAGUGCUUGUCACCAAUUUACCA